rnacentral:rRNA from 1 species
AGAGUUUGAUCAUGGCUCAGAACGAACGCUGGCGGCAUGCCUAACACAUGCAAGUCGAACGAGGUUUCCACUUCGGUGGUUUCCUAGUGGCGCACGGGUGAGUAACGCGUGGGAACCUGCCCUGUGGUACGGAACAACUCCGGGAAACUGGAGCUAAUACCGUAUGCGUCCUGCGGGACAAAGAUUGUAUCGCCAUGGGAUGGGCCCGCGUAGGAUUAGCUUGUUGGCGGGGUAACGGCCCACCAAGGCAACGAUCCUUAGCUGGUCUGAGAGGAUGAUCAGCCACACUGGGACUGAGACACGGCCCAGACUCCUACGGGAGGCAGCAGUGGGGAAUAUUGGACAAUGGGCGCAAGCCUGAUCCAGCAAUGCCGCGUGAGUGAUGAAGGCCUUCGGGUUGUAAAGCUCUUUCGCACGCGACGAUGAUGACGGUAGCGUGAGAAGAAGCCCCGGCUAACUUCGUGCCAGCAGCCGCGGUAAUACGAAGGGGGCUAGCGUUGUUCGGAAUUACUGGGCGUAAAGGGCGCGUAGGCGGUGUGUCAAGUCAGGCGUGAAAGCCCCGGGCUCAACCUGGGAACCGCGCUUGAGACUGGCACGCUCGAGUUCGGGAGAGGAUGGUGGAAUUCCCAGUGUAGAGGUGAAAUUCGUAGAUAUUGGGAAGAACACCGAUGGCGAAGGCAGCCAUCUGGACCGACACUGACGCUGAGGCGCGAAAGCGUGGGGAGCAAACAGGAUUAGAUACCCUAGUAGUCC